UCUGUAGUGAAGAUUCAGAGUAAGAUUAAGAAAUAACAUAAACUGUUACUAUUAGCUAUAAGAACCCUUCUGGGACAGAAAAGCCACUGUGUUUAUUCUUUGCCUAUCACCAACUCCUUGGCCAGCUAGCUCCUACCAAACCUAUUUUGUGGUUAACCAACCUAUGUGUUCUAGGCAGAGGAAGUAAAGAAAAGGUAACAGAUACGGGAUGUUGCUUAGUAACUGCCUGCCGUUUGUGGAAGCCCUGGACUCCAAUCUCCAGAGCGGCAAAAAAAAAAAGAAAAGGAAGACCAUUUGGAGAGAAAUUAUUUAUAACAAAAAUAACUCAAAUGAUGGCCAUUUGGAUGUUUGUUUAAAAGCUGUAAUUAUCAGCAUUUACAUCUCAGGAUCCCUGCUACUCAACUAACUUACCAACUUAGCAACACAGUAAUGACUGUCUCUUUUUAAGGCUACUACGAUGCCGUAUCCUUUGAUCAUUGCAGAUUGACACUGCAGCCAAUGAAAUAAACAAAGCAGGGGGAGACAAGAAGAUAAUGACAGGUACAUGAAACAAAGAAAAUAAAAGUGGAGAUUGUGUUCCUCCCCUCUAAGUGGCACACCACAAACACACUGCUGCCCUCCCCACAGCCUGCAGCCCAGCACCACACAGCAGAGACUAACAGGAUUAGAAGCAGCCACCUGGUACUCUCACAGAGUCCCAGGCUACAAGCUCUCUGGUGACAGAAAGCCCACUGUAGACAACAUAUUUAUACGAAUGUUUCUUCUCUCCUGUCGCCUAAAUAAGCUAAUCAGGGAUAGAUCACUCAACCCUAUUGCUUCCGUGUGCUGUGGUCCUAAAAGAAAGAAUUUAUGAUAGGAGAAAAGCAGAGACCUAGCAUCUCAAACCAGGGAGUGACCGAUACCAGAAGCAGCCCUGAGGUCCUGCAGUAAGGCAGAAGGAAAAGCCAGAUGCCUCUUCCCAUCCAGCCAGCUACGGUUUUAGAAGUUGUCAGGAAAAAAAAGGUGGCGGCAGGGGGGGUGGGGUGGUGGUCUUGUUUUCACUGUAUGCCUCCUUUUUGCUUCCAGAACCUGCAAUCAAUCUCCUCUUUAAAAGGCCAUCUGGUCAACCUAGGAAAGUCCAGCAGGCAGUGGUUUUUUAUUCAUGUCCCAGGGUAAAUAGACACCCAGGGCUGUCUCUGAGCUUGGCUGAAAGGAAGCCAGACCUGUUGGCUGUUUGGUUGUUGCUACCCUGUCUGGGACGCCCAGUCUGUGCAAGGCUGGCUGGUUCAGGGGUAGUGACACUGUCACACCAGGACUCACACCAGGGAGCUAAAAACUGGCAGUGCCCUCUGUCCAUACAAACAGGAGUCAGGGGGUGUCCUACCUUGGUGCCCUGAUGCUCUAGGUAUUUAAUGUAGGUCAGAUUGCCCCCAGAUCAUUAGAGUUAUUAAAAAUAACCUCACAGAUGGGAAACGCAUCGCAAACAAGCUUCCUGGAGAGCAGAGAGACAAACUGUUCUUUCCAAUAGCUGAAAGCACUGUUGCCAACGAAGGCAGUGACAAUUAUGACUACGUCGUUAACUACACUGGAAAGGGCUUAGCUUUUUCAGGCGCACCUAGGUAGUUCAGAACAACCUGUGGUGGAAAAUAGUGAUUAUCAGGCUCCAGACACCUUUCAGCUCAUGCAGUGAGAAACCAGCCAUCUCCCCUCCUCCCUCCCACACCGUAACACUGUUUCAUUAGCUCCUCUGACUCUCUCAACCCCACGUCAGCUCUCCCGCUCCUCCUGGGCAUUCCAAGAUGCUCACACCAAGAGGCCAGUUAGAUAACCUUCAUUUCCAUGUUAGUGCAAAUAUCUGUGUUUUCCAAUGGUCUUGGGUGACCCCUGUGAAAUGGUCGUUUGACCCCAAAGUGGUCAGGACUCCCAGGUUAAGAACCACUGAUCUACACUGUCGAGUUUUAGGCCACGCCCCACUGUUUCAUAGAAGACACUCUAUGCUGUGACUGACAGCAAACAGGUUUUCAGAAUGUACCAGUGCUCUGCCCCUGGUUGCCAGGGUACAACCUGGGACUGGUUUCAGAGUGCACCACAGAAUAAAAAGUGUGUUCCUAAGACAGACGACGUUCCCCUUAAAAUCAACAUUCAGAUCAAUAUAAUAACGUGUAAAUAACAAAUGGAGCUUAAAAUUAUACCCAGGUAGAUACUAAGCAAGCACAUUAAAGUUAAUUGAUUAACACAUGGGCAUCCUUUCUCUAACAACAAGUGCCUCAAAAAGGACUUGAAUUCCCUCCACCAAUUAAGCUCAAGAUACCUUGUAGUACCUAGUAGUAAACAGGCCACAUAGAAGGCUCUGAGUUGGUGUCUCCUGGCUCUGUAGUUCUCACUACUUCAGUCCAGAAAAUCUUCUCAACUAAAUUCUACAUACUGGGACAUAUCAACUGUCCUUGACCUUUGGAGAUGGUGACAGUCCUUUCCACACACAGACGCACACACAGACACACACACACACAGACACACACACACACACACAGAGAUACCACAAGAAAGGUUAUGAUACCAUUGAGAUAAUAAGUCCUCCCCUGGCCUUCUACCCCCGCCCCCCAUCCCUUGCCUAGCACCUUCUAUAAGCCAUCAGACAAUGGCCUUUUCUACAUUGCUGACUGCUGAGUUCCACUCAUCUACAAGUCGUGUUAUCAAUGGUUUUCCCCAUCCUCAUGUGUUGGUCCUUGGAUCAUACUAAGAGUUUGUGGAUCUUUUAGGGAGUAACUAGGUCACAAGGUCUCAAUCCUUGUGAGUGGAUUGGUAACCUAAGAGAAGCAGCCAAGUGCACUGCCUGUCCCCAUCGCAUGAAGACACAACAAUGAAGCAUUGUCUAUGAGGCUGAGAGUCCCUGCCAGACACUGAGAGUGUUGGUGUCUUCACAUCGGAUUCCUCAUCCUCCAGAAGUAGUAAGCAGAAAAAGCUAGAAGUCACCUUCAGAACCUAGAGAGCUAAGCUGCAAAGACUGGAAGACACAGAAAACGCCUGAGCUGCCUUGAAGAAGUUAGACUGGGGUUUUGUGGAAAGGACACUCUCCAACCUGUUGAGCUGCCUGAAGGCUAUGCAAUGUGCUCCAGGCUCCAGGCCAUCACCCAUGCUGGUGUAGGCCUUGGUGAUGCAUCUGUCUUUGAGUUAUUUCUGCUCCUUACCCAUACUCCUGCACUGUGAGUCCACCUGUGGGAAGCAGCGCUCUCAGCCACCCCUGCUUCUCAUGACACUUGUUUUGCCGUCACAAGGACAUGUGUGAGGAAAGCAAAUGCGCCUUUGAGGAGAUGAGUAUCUGAAGCAAAUCAUUUUCACCUGAAGGGCUAUGGCAUUUUAGUAAUGUCCUCUAGUCAGGGAAGUAAUUAUAUAGGUCUUGGCGGCAGAAGCAGAAGCCACAAUUAAACCCACAUUUAACUUGUACAGUUUUAGCAUCUCACAAAGAGAUUUUCAACCUCUGCUUUUUUUUUUUUACCUCACACCUAAGCAACAUUAGCACAGACUGAACAUUAUUACAGCAUGUUCACAAGGAAGGGGGAGCAAAAGUUAAUGUCUCGCAUGCUUUCUCCUUCUUUCUAGUAGGAGUAAAUACAUUUCAUACUCCAGUAGAGAAAGAAAAGAAAAGGAACACUUUGUACC
rnacentral:sRNA from 1 species